UAAGGAAUAUUGGUCAAUGGACGCAAGUCUGAACCAGCCAUGCCGCGUGAAGGAUGAAGGUCCUCUGGAUUGUAAACUUCUUUUAUCUGGGACGAAGACGGGAUUUUUAUCUCAAUUGACGGUACCAGAGGAAUAAGCACCGGCUAACUCCGUGCCAGCAGCCGCGGUAAUACGGAGGGUGCGAGCGUUAUCCGGAUUUACUGGGUUUAAAGGGUGCGUAGGUGGGCUUAUAAGUCAGUGGUGAAAUCUCCGAGCUUAACUUGGAAACUGCCGUUGAUACUAUAGGUCUUGAAUUAUCUGGAGGUAAGCGGAAUAUGUCAUGUAGCGGUGAAAUGCUUAAAUAUGACAUAGAACACCAAUUGCGAAGGCAGCUUACUACAUAUAAAUUGACGCUGAGGCACGAAAGCGUGGGGAUCAAACA
rnacentral:rRNA from 1 species